UCCUGUAUAAACAGAGGCAGCGUUUAAAUCACAAAACGGCAUAAAGUUCAACGGUUUUGAUGAGCUUUUAUUGUCACGUGUGCAAAAAGUAGUGAAAUUCUUUCCUUACAUACAGUCCAGUACAGUAUUCCCAUACCCAAGCACAUCCUCCAUUAGGAAGUGUUCAGAAAUAGUCUAUUGAGCCUGCAUGCAACAGGUGCAAUGUUUUGG